rnacentral:rRNA from 1 species
GACGAACGCUGGCGGCGUGCUUAACACAUGCAAGUCGAACGGAAAGGCCUGCUUUCCCUUGUGGAUUGCGGGUACUCGAGUGGCGAACGGGUGAGUAACACGUGAGUGAUCUGCCCCCAACUUGGGUAUAAGCCUGGGAAACUGGGUCUAAUUCCCGAUAGGACUGCAGGGUGGUGCCUGUGGUGGAACACGAUUUUCUAGUGGUUGGGGAUGAGCUCGCGGCCUAUCAGCUUGUUGGUGGGGUAAUGGCCUACCAAGGCGGCGACGGGUAGCCGGCCUGAGAGGGUGGACGGCCACAUUGGGACUGAGAUACGGCCCAGACUCCUACGGGAGGCAGCAGUGGGGAAUAUUGCACAAUGGGCGGAAGCCUGAUGCAGCGACGCCGCGUGGGGGAUGACGGCCUUCGGGUGGUAAACUCCUUUCGACCGCGAGGAAGCCACCUGGUUGGAAGGGUGGUGACGGUAGUGGUAGAAGAAGCACCGGCUAACUACGUG